ensembl:lncRNA
CACUCGCAGCGCCUAAAGUCGCUACGUCGGAAACGAGAAGAGCCAAACCCGUCGAUACGGACGCGAGCGCCAUUUGUGACGCGUCGUAAGCAUUGAUCUGCUCGUGUACCUGUUCCACACAUUUCUGCUCUCGGUAAAGCACAGUGGUCCAGCAGCAGAUGUGUAAGCUCUGCCGCGGCGCGUACACGUCCUCAUUUGCCUCUUAAUGUCUUCCUCCCUAUUGAUCGUGGAGAGAAAGAGGCCCGGGAGCCCUCCGGUUUGAUCUGUGUGAACAUCCUUCCCUUAAUUCUCCUCCGCGAGUUUAAUGGCGAACACACGGGUCCCUUUUGGCAAAGGCUGCAUCAAGUGAAACGUUGAGCCGUCCGAAUCGAACGAGGUGGAGAAACAACAACGCCUCGCAAACAAAAGGGGGCCGCUGAGCCCGAGUCGGGAUUCCUCGUGACUGACCGACCCCUCGCACCAAACGACGCCUGCCGCCGGUCGCAGAGGGGCAUCGCCUACCAAUGCUUCACUUGGGGAUGUGUGUUCUUUGUGUCUCUGCUGUGUUUCAUCGAUGCCUGCGUCGUCUUGAGGAGCGGGCUGAUUGUUAUCGUCGCCUCCUCCCUCUGACUGGCGUGCAGUUGCCUGUUUAGAGACGGCUCUUGGGGGAGGUUCGGGAGGACGUCACGCCGAAGUUUUGUUCUCCACAGCUCGAGGUAGCGUCUCUCCCACUGCAAUGUUAUGCCUCGUGCCCCCGAGAUCCCGGGUAUUUCUUCCCUCCUCCCCUCCGGCACGUCUUUGAUGCUGUUUUAUUGAUAAGCUCGUCUUGAAUGCAACACACCGCAGUCAUCUCCUACCCACAGCGCGCCCCCCCCCCCGCCGUACAUCCCCGAGAGCAGAAUGGAUGCAUUCCUCACCAAAAGUUUCACUGACAAAAAUCUUGUUUUUCUUUUUUUUAAUACUGUGAGAACAUUGUACGUAUGUUUGCAGGGUGGGUUUUUCAUUAACGGCAGCACUGACGCCUGUCAAAAAAAAGAAAAAAAGAAAUCAGCUCUGGAUCUGGUGCUAAGUGUUUUUCUUAAGGUUGGCUGAAGUGCUGUAAAUAGCGCCGUCUUCUUCUUCCCCGAGGGGACACACCCACUCAGGAAGGGUGAGAGAGGGAGAGUGGCUGCGUGAUGGUCAGAGAAGCAGACAUCUCGGGGUGCUGAAAUUGAAUCUGGUCCCAAGUUUGUAGUGGAAAAGCCAAAGUGACUGGAUGGUAGAUAAUAGGUUUGCUGUAACGUCACGCCCCGCAAGAGUCCAGCUCCUGACGUCCUCCUGACAGCCAUCUUCCCAUUUCUGCCCCCGUUACACGGCUGUGCGGCCGCGGCCCGUUUUACUUCACACACUCUUAGCAUGCUCUGUGGAUUGCUCUGUUGGAUAUUGCUUUGAGUGCUGAGCUAUAAAAAGGAAUACCUGAUUUGUUAUUGAUAAAGUAAUGUUAAGAAGGUCAUAAAAAUGAAACAAAGCCCAUUUGUGUGUUUUGCCCAGUGGGAUACAGUGCCUGCCUUUUUUAUUCUCUUGUUGCAUUGUUUUAUUGUUGUAAAGCCCGUGUAAUCCUCUGCACUUAGGAAGAUAAGUGAACUGUGAAAAUAAAUAAUUAUUUGGGAGGCGUUGCAUUGUAAUUCCAUGUUUUUGGCCACAAUGCAUUUGUGAACAGCAAAACAAAGAGUGGAGAAGACACCAUUGUCUUUUAUGCAUUUUAAACACGCUUAUAAUGAAUAUAAAUCUGCUUAUAGCACAGUGUACUCAGUCAUACAAACCAAGACAUACUUAAACUGCUGUAUAACGAUAAUCACAACACAUAAUAAAGCAUUUUAUAAUCACUCAAUGUUCAUGUAAGGAAACGCUGGUCGCUCCCUGAGAUUAUUUUUAGUAAGGAUUAAAGUGUAUUUUGAUUAAAAUUGUUUUUAUAAAAAGUUAUAAUGCAUUAUAAACGCUGUUUAAUGUAGGAUAAGGGAUACUACUACUGUAAGUGGUGAUUGCUUUCUUUAAGUAACGUGAAAAAACAUCAAACCCAUGGAAGAUAAAAAAAAGAAAACAUAAAAUGAAUUUGCACUUUACCUAAUUAAGGAAAUGACCACUCGGUGUAACUUAUAUAGUCACAUUAUCAUGCAAUAUGAACAUAUUUUAUGAUUUGUUAUGAUAAUUAUGUAUAUUUGUGAUAAAAAACAUAAUUUUACCGUGCAUUUGGAGUCUUUUCUUAAUGCAUUAUUGACGGGAUCGGCGUUUCAUUUCCUCUUGGAGCCCACAUUCGUGGUCUCAUCAUCACUUCAGAGUCUCCGCCUCUCAAUCACUCCAUCUCCCUCGCUCCCCUUUUCCUCUUUUUUUUCCCUCUCGCGGUGACCUUGAAGGUGUUCCUCCCGCGUUCCUUCAGACCCGCAGAACUCUCCGUUUCUUUUUCUUCUCCCUUCCCCUUCCUCCGUUUUCAUUAGCGGGCUCAGUCGGCCUGCCUAGGGACAGCCGGCUGCUGCGCUCACGUUACAGGCCUAUUGACUUCGGAAGAGAGGGGGGGAAAUACUGUGGACAUGAUUCACCAUGCAUGAACCUCGUGAUAGCACUUUAAUCUGUGCCUUCUUCUUUUCAAUGGAGAACGGCGCAUGAUAAACCACAAGGCAUUUUUAUUUUUUAUCACCCUCACUUCAGGCAUGUCAGUAAUCAGAUACGUAGCCCGAGCUAAUUAAAUAUGGGGAGAUACUGCCAUGCAGUCACACUUUAGCACAGUUAAAAAAAAAAGGACAUGACUUGACACAAAGUGCGUCACCUCAACGAAGCGGUUAGACUUUAAGUUCUUCGGUUCAGCAGACUUACCCGAACCUGCGAUGAAGUUAUUAUUUUUCACCAGGCGAUAAUCAAUGCGGCAUUUCAAUGUUGAAAUAUCGCCACAGUCCAAAAGGUGAUCAAAUAAAGGGAAAACAUUUUUUUGUGGUAAUUGAUUUUUGUUUUCCUUCAUUAUGCAGGCUGAACUCCCAUACUGAUGACAAAGCUUGUGAAUGGAACAUGGAGCUGUGUGCUAAUCUGGCACCACAUUGUGCAUUAACAUUCAAUAACCUUUGUAUAUAAAUUGUAAGCGCAUUAAAUCAGGUUGUUGUGUCGACGAGUUAUGCUUCUCUUAUGAGCUCUAAAAGCGACGACGAAGGCCCUGGCAGGAGGGGGGAUGGCCUCAGAGGUGGAGGGGUGUUUUAUCACACUUGCACCCGGGUAAUUAACCAGGACUGCCCUGGAAUCUCUUCUCCUGUGUCCGUCCUCCGCCCUUCAUCCCUCUCCUGCAGUGUGGAAGGGCGGGGUGGGCGUAGUCUCUCUCCCUAUCUGCAGCUGCACAAACCAGGCUUUGAACUCUGUGGCGUUAUGAUAAUCAAAAAGUGGAAUGCGUUUCCAUUUUGCUCAAUGCUGCAUCACGCUGUACUCUAUAUUUACACAUGUGUUUUUUUUUGUUUUUUUGACCAUAUAUUUCUGGAAGGAGUUGGGGAUGAAUUUGGUGGCGCGCUUAGCAGCUCGUAUCCCAGUGAUGAUGCACCUGAUAGGUUGGCAGGCAUACAGCAAUCAGUUAAAUGACAGACAGACAGGCUCAGAGCACAGCUGCACAGCGCAGUCUAAGCCAAUUGUGUGACAAUCAGAGGCUGCUAUUUUAGGUUUCCCUCCCCCUACAGAGAACAGAUUUCAGUGAAUCAGUUGGCCCUCAGGCGUCAUAAUUAUGCAAAAAGUUCAGCAGAGAAAAGUUAUUUGUUCCACUAUUGUUUUGCCUUUCUUUCUUAUCGCUUAAUCGUCUGAGGAAAGUGGUUGUGGUAAUGUAGAGAGAGGUGUGAGAUUUUGUUGACUAUAAACAUUAGACUUGAAAGCAAUUUGGAAGUUAGAUUAGAAAUACAUCUAUAUGUACUGAAUUUGGAGACAUGCAAAUGGCUACAAUUUUGCAAUUCAAAUCAUUUUUUGUUUUUUUUUUACUAAAGAAAGCUUCUAUUUCCAGCCUAGAUUUUUCAAACGCCCCGAGACUUAUGAUGCAGAAAUGCCUUUAAUCGUGUACCCUUAAGUAAUAUCAAAUCUGUGUGCUAGAGGCCAGCCUGUGAUCGCCACCAGGGAGAUUACCUGGUGACCACCAGCCGGAAUACAUAGCGGGCGGACGACUCGAACCCCGCCGGCUAACCCCAAGCCGAGCGCUCGCUCGGGGAGGAGGCCCGUGGACUCGGGUGUAAAUUAGUUAAUGGCGUCUAAUUCAAUGCAAAGGUCUAUUCGUUUAGCUCCCGCUCUCAUUACAAUGUGUACGUGGAGAGUCCCGUCGGACGGCUAAAUGCAAAACGGCGAGACGCUACGGAGCACGAUGCAGAUGCUCUAUUUGGAGUUUGCACAUCUGUUGUGCCGGCGGAGAGCUGGGGAUGUGGUGCCUUGACGUCUUUCCUCCGUAUGGACGAGGGAAUAUUUGACAAAAGAUUCAGUCAUCUUUGCUGCAUUCUGUGUACACCGUUUAAAUAAACUUAAACAAAGAAUGGGAAAUUACGUUUUUUAUUUGUUCAUAUAGCGACGUUACAUACAUAUUUUUAUGUAUUUACUUCACGUCACGGCGAAUAUUUUCAGGAAUGAGCCAACUAUUCCAAAUUGUUCGGGUGAACCGCAGUUCAACUCCAUUUCGGCCAAUGGACAACGGGACCUCAUUCGUGUUGGCUGCUAAUGUCCAGGGCGCCAAUUACGCUCAACAAAUCCGCUGAUUGAGGGGCCGACUAGAAGAGCGGUGGGCUGGUGUCCUGGAUGUUUUUAGAAUCCUGUUCAGGAGAGCAGAGCACUUGUGUAAGUGUUUGUUAUUCUAGUUUAAUUAUGUCCACGGGGCCCGGGAGUGUGGGCCAAUCUUACGCAGCGCCUCUUUAGCUCGAGCCACAGCGGACUGGCUUGAUGUCUUCCUCUUCUUUCCUCUGCACUGAAUGAGCAAUUAAAGGUCAUAUCAAUUAGAGCAUGUUGUGGUCUCCAGACUCAUUUUGAAACAGCUUGCUCCUGUUGCGCCGUCGAAGAAGGAAUGAGUAUACAAAUGGAAAGCUUGGCCUUCCUCGGUUAAAUGUUAUUUUUUAAAUAUUUGGAAUAAAUCUCGGCUGCAGCAUUUUGGGGGCAGAGCGGUAAUGAGUGGCUCGGCUCGGGCUUCACGUCAUGGAGAAUAUACGCUGGGCCGUAUGCAAAUAUGCAGCCGUCCUCAAUUAAUUAAAACCCAAAGUAAAACACAGCGUAUGAUAAUCAAAAAUCAUCAACAUGAAAUUA